rnacentral:misc_RNA from 1 species
GAUGCAUGGUUGAUUAGAUAACAGUGAGAACUAAUUAAUGUUGCUACAUUGUGAUCAUCUUUUAUGAUGAGAUAUAAUAAAAUGUGAAUUAAACUAUUUUUUUUCCUUCAUUGUAUUGAAGUUUGCUACAGAACUUGUAUGUAUCUUAUAAUGUUCUUAUGAAGCUACAAGAUAAUUUAUCAAAUAAUUGGCAAUGUCCAUUGGAUCAUAGGUGUCAUGUAAAAGUGAAGUUCAUACCAUGAGAGAGAG